rnacentral:rRNA from 1 species
UACGGAGGGGGCUAGCGUUGUUCGGAAUUACUGGGCGUAAAGCGCACGUAGGCGGCUUUGUAAGUUAGGGGUGAAAGCCCGGGCUCAACUCCGGAAUUGCCUUUAAGACUGCAUCGCUAGAAUUGUGGAGAGGUAAGUGGAAUUCCGAGUGUAGAGGUGAAAUUCGUAGAUAUUCGGAAGAACACCAGUGGCGAAGGCGACUUACUGGACACAUAUUGACGCUGAGGUGCGAAAGCGUGGGGAGCAAACAGGG